UACGGAGGGGGCUAGCGUUGUUCGGAAUUACUGGGCGUAAAGCGCACGUAGGCGGCUUUGCAAGUUAGAGGUGAAGCCCGGGGCUCAACUCCGGAAUUGCCUUUAAAACUGCAUCGCUAGAGUUGUGGAGAGGUAAGUGGGAAUUCCGAGUGUAGAGGUGAAAUUCGUAGAUAUUCGGAAGAACACCAGUGGCGAAGGCGACUUACUGGACACAUACUGACGCUGAGGUGCGAAAGCGUGGGGAGCAAACAGG
rnacentral:rRNA from 1 species